rnacentral:rRNA from 1 species
UACGUAGGCAGCGAGCGUUGUUCGGAAUUACUGGGCGUAAAGAGUGUGUAGGCGGUGUUCUCAGUCUGGUGUGAAAUCUCCCGGCUUAACUGGGAGGGUGCAGCGGAAACUAGAAUGCUAGAGGGUGGGAGAGGUAAGCGGAAUUCCUGGUGUAGCGGUGAAAUGCGUAGAUAUCAGGAGGAACACCUGUGGUGUAGACAGCUUACUGGACCACUUCUGACGCUGAGACACGAAAGCGUGGGUAGCAAACAGG